rnacentral:rRNA from 1 species
UGGGGAAUUUUGGACAAUGGGCGAAAGCCUGAUCCAGUAAUGCCGCGUGUGUGAAGAAGGCCUUCGGGUUGUAAAGCACUUUUGUCCGGAAAGAAAUCCUUGGCUCUAAUACAGUCGGGGGAUGACGGUACCGGAAGAAUAAGCACCGGCUAACUACGUGCCAGCAGCCGCGGUAAUACGUAGGGUGCAAGCGUUAAUCGGAAUUACUGGGCGUAAAGCGUGCGCAGGCGGUUUGCUAAGACCGAUGUGAAAUCCCCGGGCUCAACCUGGGAACUGCAUUGGUGACUGGCAGGCUAGAGUAUGGCAGAGGGGGGUAGAAUUCCACGUGUAGCAGUGAAAUGCGUAGAGAUGUGGAGGAAUACCGAUGGCGAAGGCAGCCCCCUGGGCCAAUACUGACGCUCAUGCACGAAAGCGUGGGGAGCAAAACAGGAUUAGAUACCCUGGUAGUCCACGCCCUAAACGAUGUCAACUAGUUGUUGGGGAUUCAUUUCCUUAGUAACGUAGCUAACGCGUGAAGUUGACCGCCUGGGGAGUACGGUCGCAAGAUUAAAACUUAAAUGAAUUGACGGGGUCAUAGCUGUUUCCU